UACGUAGGGUGCAAGCGUUGUCCGGAAUUAUUGGGCGUAAAGAGCUCGUAGGCGGCUUGUCGCGUCGGCUGUGAAAACCUGGGGCUCAACCCCGGGCCUGCAGCCGAUACGGGCAAGCUAUAAUUCGGUAGGGGAGACUGGAAUUCCUGGUGUAGCGGUGAAAUGCGCAGAUAUCAGGAGGAACACCGGUGGCGAAGGCGGGUCUCUGGGCCACUACUGACGCUGAGAAGCGAAAGCGUGGGGAGCGAACAGG
rnacentral:rRNA from 1 species